rnacentral:rRNA from 1 species
GCUUGCGGCAGCUACACAUGCAGUCGAACGGUAGCACAGAGAGCUUGCUCUCGGGUGACGAGUGGCGGACGGGUGAGUAAUGUCUGGGAAACUGCCUGAUGGAGGGGGAUAACUACUGGAAACGGUAGCUAAUACCGCAUAACGUCGCAAGACCAAAGACCCCGACCUUCGGGCCUCUUGCCAUCAGAUGUGCCCAGAUGGGAUUAGCUAGUAGGUGCCGUAACGGCUCACCUAGGCGACGAUCCCUAGCUGGUCUGAGACCUUGACCAGCCACACUGGAACUGAGACACGGUCCAGACUCCUACGGGAGGCAGCAGUGGGGAAUAUUGCACAAUGGGCGCAAGCCUGAUGCAGCCAUGCCGCGUGUAUGAAGAAGGCCUUCGGGUUGUAAAGUACUUUCAGCGGGGAGGAAGGUGUUGUGGUUAAUAACCGCAGCAAUUGACGUUACCCGCAGAAGUUGCACCGGCUAACUCCGUGCCAGCAGCCGCGGUAAUACGGAGGGUGCAAGCGUUAAUCGGAAUUACUCCCCGUAAAGCGCACGCAGGCGGUCUGUCAAGUCGGAUGUGAAAUCCCCGGGCUCAACCUGGGAACUGCAUUCGAAACUGGCAGGCUGGAGUCUUGUAGAGCCCCCUAGAAUUCCAGGUGUAGCGGUGAAAUGCGUAGAGAUCUGGAGGAAUACCGGUGGCGA